UACGUAGGGGGCAAGCGUUAUCCGGAUUUACUGGGUGUAAAGGGGGCGCAGACGGCAGCGCAAGCCAGGAGUGAAAGCCCGGGGCCCAACCCCGGGACUGCUCUUGGAACUGCGCGGCUGGAGUGCAGGAGGGGCAGGCGGAAUUCCUGGUGUAGCGGUGAAAUGCGUAGAUAUCAGGAGGAACACCGGUGGCGAAGGCGGCCUGCUGGACUGCGACUGACGUUGAGGCCCGAAAGCGUGGGGAGUAAACAGG
rnacentral:rRNA from 1 species